rnacentral:rRNA from 1 species
GACGAACGCUGGCGGCGUGCUUAACACAUGCAAGUCGAACGGUGAAGGAGAGCUUGCUCUCCGGAUCAGUGGCGAACGGGUGAGUAACACGUGGGCAACCUGCCCCAGACUUCGGGAUAACGCUUCGAAAGAGGUGCUAAUACCGGAUACGAACUCCUUGGGCAUCCUUGGAGUUGGAAAGUUUUUCGGUCUGGGAUGGGCCCGCGGCCUAUCAGCUUGUUGGUGAGGUAACGGCUCACCAAGGCGACGACGGGUAGCCGGCCUGAGAGGGCGACCGGCCACACUGGGACUGAGACACGGCCCAGACUCCUACGGGAGGCAGCAGUGGGGAAUAUUGCGCAAUGGGCGAAAGCCUGACGCAGCAACGCCGCGUGAGGGAUGACGGCCUUCGGGUUGUAAACCUCUUUCAGCAGGGAAGAAGCGAAAGUGACGGUGCCUGCAGAAGAAGCACCGGCUAACUACGUGCCAGCCGCCGCCGUAAGAC